UGCAGUCUGGUGUUGUAAGCAUGUUAUGUUUUGGUCAUAGUGGUAAUUGGUAGUUGGCUGUAG
rnacentral:tRNA from 1 species